rnacentral:rRNA from 1 species
UGGGGAAUUUUGGACAAUGGGCGAAAGCCUGAUCCAGCAAUGCCGCGUGUGUGAAGAAGGCCUUCGGGUUGUAAAGCACUUUUGUCCGGAAAGAAAUCCUUGGCUCUAAUACAGUCGGGGGAUGACGGUACCGGAAGAAUAAGCACCGGCUAACUACGUGCCAGCAGCCGCGGUAAUACGUAGGGUGCAAGCGUUAAUCGGAAUUACUGGGCGUAAAGCGUGUGCAGGCGGUUUGCUAAGACCGAUGUGAAAUCCCCGGGCUCAACCUGGGAACUGCAUUGGUGACUGGCAGGCUAGAGUAUGGCAGAGGGGGUAGAAUUCCACGUGUAGCAGUGAAAUGCGUAGAGAUGUGGAGGAAUACCGAUGGCGAAGGCAGCCCCUGGGCCAAUACUGACGCUCAUGCACGAAAGCGUGGGGAGCAAACAGGAUUAGAUACCCUGGUAGUCCACGCCCUAAACGAUGUCAACUAGUUGUUGGGGAUUCAUUUCCUUAGUAACGUAGCUAACGCGUGAAGUUGACCGCCUGGGGAGUACGGUCGCAAGAUUAAAACUUAAA